CAGCAGCAGCCACGGUAAUACGGAGGGUGCAAGCGUUAUCCGGAUUUAUUGGGUUUAAAGGGUCCGUAGGCGGAUCUGUAAGUCAGUGGUGAAAUCUCACAGCUUAACUGUGAAACUGCCAUUGAUACUGCAGGUCUUGAGUAAAUUUGAAGUGGCUGGAAUAAGUAGUGUAGCGGUGAAAUGCAUAGAUAUUACUUAGAACACCAAUUGCGAAGGCAGGUCACUAAGAUUUAACUGACGCUGAUGGACGAAAGCGUGGGGAGCGAACAGGAUUAGAUACCCCAGUAGUCCCUGUCUCUUAUAC
rnacentral:rRNA from 1 species